GGAUGAACGCUAGCGGCAGGCCUAACACAUGCAAGUCGAGGGGUAACAUUGGUGCUUGCACCAGAUGACGACCGGCGCACGGGUGCGUAACGCGUAUACAAUCUACCUUUUGCUAAGGGAUAGCCCAGAGAAAUUUGGAUUAAUACCUUAUAGUAUGCAGACUUCUCAUGGAGAUUGCAUUAAAGAUUACGGCAAAAGAUGAGUAUGCGUCCUAUUAGUUUGUUGGUGUGGUAACGGCACACCAAGACUACGAUAGGUAGGGGCCCUGAGAGGGGGAUCCCCCACACUGGUACUGAGACACGGACCAGACUCCUACGGGAGGCAGCAGUGAGGAAUAUUGGACAAUGGAGGCAACUCUGAUCCAGCCAUGCCGCGUGCAGGAAGACUGCCCUAUGGGUUGUAAACUGCUUUUAUACAGGAAGAAACACUCCCUCGUGAGGGAGCUUGACGGUACUGUAAGAAUAAGGAUCGGCUAACUCCGUGCCAGCAGCCGCGGUAAUACGGAGGAUCCAAGCGUUAUCCGGAAUCAUUGGGUUUAAAGGGUCCGUAGGUGGAUAAUUAAGUCAGAGGUGAAAGUUUGCAGCUCAACUGUAAAAUUGCCUUUGAUACUGGUUAUCUUGAGUUAUUGUGAAGUAGUUAGAAUAUGUAGUGUAGCGGUGAAAUGCAUAGAUAUUACAUAGAAUACCAAUUGCGAAGGCAGAUUACUAACAAUAUACUGACACUGAUGGACGAAAGCGUGGGUAGCGAACAGGAUUAGAUACCCUGGUAGUCCACGCCGUAAACGAUGGAUACUAGCUGUUGGGCUUCGGCUCAGUGGCUAAGCGAAAGUGAUA
rnacentral:rRNA from 1 species